rnacentral:rRNA from 1 species
UACGGAGGGUGCAAGCGUUAAUCGGAAUUACUGGGCGUAAAGCGUGCGCAGGCGGUUUGUUAAGUCUGUUGUGAAAUCCCCGAGCUCAACUUGGGAAUUGCAAUGGAUACUGGCAGGCUGGAGUAUGGUAGAGGAAGGUGGAAUUCCGGGUGUAGUGGUGAAAUGCGUAGAUAUCCGGAGGAACACCAGUGGCGAAGGCGGCCGCCUGGACCUGACCUGACGCUGAGGCGCGAAGGCGUGGGGAGCGAACGGG